AGGGUGACUGCAGAUAUGCCUACCUGGAGCUGGCUCAGAGCAGUUUUCCUUGACUCUUUUCCACCUGGUUUGAGUGUGUCAGCAUGAUGGUGAUUUUGCUAAACUGUGUUACCCUGGGGAUGUACCAGCCAUGUGAGGAUAUGGACUGCCUUUCCGACAGAUGUAAAAUCUUGCAGGUAUUUGAUGAUUUCAUCUUCAUCUUCUUUGCAAUGGAAAUGGUGUUAAAGAUGGUGGCCCUGGGGAUCUUUGGCAAGAAGUGUUACCUUGGAGAUACCUGGAACCGCCUGGAUUUCUUCAUUGUUAU